UACGUAGGGUGCGAGCGUUGUCCGGAAUUACUGGGCGUAAAGCGCACGUAGGCGGUCUUUUAAGUCGGGGGUGGAAUCCUGGAGCUCAACUCCAGAACUGCCUUCGAUACUGGAAGACUCGAGUCCGGGAGAGGUGAGUGGAACUGCGAGUGUAGAGGUGAAAUUCGUAGAUAUUAGGAAGAACACCAGUGGCGAAGGCGGCUCACUGGUCCGGUACUGACGCUGAGGUGCGAAAGCGUGGGGAGCAAACAGG
rnacentral:rRNA from 1 species